UAAUCCCUCAAGCGUGCUCAUCUCACUCUCCAAACCUGCCCUCUUGCAGGGUCCAUGCUUCUUCUAAGUGUCCUGGUCACAAGGCAGCUGGAUCGACACUCAGAGGUACAGAGCAGAGCAGAGUGUGGUCCCUGAAUCUGUCUCACCCCCACGAUCUUUACACACAGAGACCUUCCCAGGAGCUGUGACUUGAACUUCACAAUCUGCAGGGUCCACCCAGGAGCCGUGUCCUCCUCACAGGCAAUUGGAUCCCCUCCUCUCUCAACCUGUGUGGGAAGACUGGAAACAAAAAAUAGAGAAAGUUGGAGGUAAAACACUAAGGGGAUGGGCAUCCCCAGGACAGAGGAAAACACUGAGGGGAUGGAUGGGCCACACCUGAGCAUCCUCAGGACCGAGGGAAACACUGAGGGGAUGGAUGGGCCACACCUGAGCAUCCUCAGGACUGAGGGAAACACUGAGGGGGUGGAUGGACCACACUUGAGUGACCCCAGGACAGAGGGAAACACUGACGGGAUGGAUGGGCCACAUCUGAGAGUUCCCAGGGCCGACAUAAAAAACCUAUUGGGAUAGACCAAACCUGUGAGUCCCCAGGGUGCAGUAAACACUAAAUUAAUAGACCACACCUGAGGGUCUCGAGGACCGAGGUAAAACACUCAGGGGAUGGAUGGGCCAUAUCUGAGGGCCCCCAGGACAAAGGUAAACAAUAAGGGGAUGGGCCACACCUCAGGGUCCCCAGGACAGAGGUAAACACUAAGCGGAUGGAUGAACCACAACUGAGAUUCCCCAGAAUAGAGAUAAAACACUUUGGGGAUCGACCACAUCUGAGGGGCCCAAGGCAGAGGUAAACACUAAAGAAAUGGAUGGACCACACCUAAGGGUUCCCAGGAUAGAUGUAAACACUAAUGGGACGGAUAGACCACACCUGAGAGUCUCGAGGACAAUGGAAAAACACUAAUGGGAUGGAUUGACCACAACUGAGGGUCCCCAGGACAGAGGUAAACACUAAUGGGAUGGAUAGACCACACCUCAGGGUCUCCAGGACAGAGGUAAAAACC
rnacentral:lncRNA from 1 species